rnacentral:lncRNA from 10 species
GCGCCACCUUAAGAGCUGUAACACUCACGGCGAGGGUCCGCGGCUUCAUUCUUGAAGUCAGUGAGACCAAGAACCCACCAAUUCUGGACACACAAUGAGGAACCAUGAUAGUGUUUGGUACAUAGAGGACACUGGAAAUGGUUUUCUUAACUGAACAAGUGACUAGAAUAAAGGAAUUAAUGAACGACAUCAGAGCUGAAAUCCCAAACCAUAAAUCAUAAAAGGAUCAGACAGCAAAGAGUACUCAAAAGCUGAUUUAUUGAGAUCCUGAUGAGUUUGAAGUAACUAGAAACUUGAUCAAACAGUGACAAGACCCAAGAUUUGUUUUACUCUAAAGUGAGAAAUUAUCCUCAACAAAAAAACAUUUCACAGUGAGAAUCAGAAGAAUAUUUGCAUCAGGCAACUCUGGGUGCUAGAUAUUUAUUUUUUUUCUUUUUCACAUGAACUAUAAAAACUUACCACAAAAGACUGAUCUCCACAACUGCUUAUACUCUAGGAUUAUUAUACAUUGCACUGUUCUUGCUGAUACUCCAAAGACAUGUAGAAAAUAGAAAGGUAUAUUUCUCUCUUACCAUUUAUAGUCGAUUUCUUGAAAGAUAUGUACAUGUCGUUACCUUGCGUUCACCCCGCAACUGACUUCUGUAUAAUUUUCUACUCACCACCAGUGAAAAUGCACCUGUCAAAGAAGUUCCACCAUUGGAAAUAAAAAUGAAAAAGAUUUUGCAAAGGCAAUUAAUAAUGAGUCAUCAGAGAGAAUGAAGCCACCAAGGAAAUCUAAAGUUUCAAAAACUUGGGAAAGGUCGACAAUGUCAGACAUCCAAGGGAUGACUGAAAAUAUUCUGCUAAUAUGCCAUUGGUGAACAAUACAGAGAUUCCAAAAUGAAAGAAAAGUCAUCCUCUCUGGAAAUGUGAAGCAUAACUAAAGUUUGACCAACAAGUUGUAGAAGUGAAAGGCAUCAAAUAUAAUAACCAAAGAAAACAGAAAAAUACCACACGUCCGGUAAUUCCUCAGCUGGCAGUAAAAACAGAUGAUUGAUUUAAACCUUUUCUCUACAUACAUUCUCAGGUGGGAGGCCUUUGCCCCACAUUUUGCUAAUAAUGUUAUGCAUUUCAUGCAUCUAAUGUCACACUCUCAGUGCUGGAAUCAAAGCCAUAUAAUCAUCAAACAGGUCUUUGGUCUUUGUUAUUCAAAAUCAGAGGAAAAUAGAAUUAAUUAAUGACUAAAAAAUAGUUAAGUCUCUCACUUUUUGAAUCCACCUCUCUUUAUAGUAUUCCUUAGGUUUCCCUGUUUUAAGAGUUAGCACUUGUAUCUGAUGGGAGGGGAGUUAGCUUUUUAAAAUUUUUUUUAAUUUUUGAGUUUUGUAGGUACAUGGCAUAUAUAUUUAUGGGGUAUAUGAGAUGUUUUGAUACAGGCAUACAAUACAUAAUAAUCACAUAAUGGAGCAUGGAGUUUCCAUUCCCUCAAGCAUUUAUCUUGUGUGUUAUGUACAGUCCAAUUAUACUCUUUUACUUAUUUUAAAAUGUACAAUUAAUAUGUUACAGUUAGGUGAAGAAUAUAGGUUAAAUAGUCGUAACAAUUUCAUAGACUUCCUUUACAUAGCUAAGGCUGAAAGUAAUUAAACAUCAUUAAAAAGUGAUUCAAACUCAUUAAACACUUGUUAUUAUGCCUUUGAGAUUCUGCAACCAAAAUUACACACAAUAUUUCACAUGUACAAAUACCAUGGCAUUAUCCAAAAAUGAGUGAGCUUUGUUCUUCUUACUAUCCCCCUUUUUCAUCAUUUUUAUUUUUUAGAUUGAAAUUUUGUGCAGGGUGAGUUAUAACAAUUUUAUCCUCUUGGAUAACCUAUAAUGAUAACCAGAUUAAAAAUGAUCUCAUUCUGUCUCCCAGGCUGGAUUAUAGUGGCAUAAUCUCGGUUCACUGCAACCUCUGCCUCCGGGGUUUCAGCGAUUCUCCCACGUCAGCCCGCUUAGGAGCUGGGACUACAGGCACGUGCCAACGUGCCCAGCAAAUUUUUUGUAUUUUUAGUAGAGACGGGGUUUCACCAUGUUGUCCUGGCUGAUCUCGAACUCCUGACCUUAAAUGAUCCACCCGCCUCGACCUUCCAAAGUUCUGGGACUACAGGUAUGAACCACUGUGGCCUGCAAAAUUAAAAAUUUUAACUUGAAAACUGGAAAACUACAACUCAGAAGCUAUAAUCAUAUAAAUUGUUCAUUGGUAGUUUAUUGGCACAUACCAAUAUAACCUAAAGUAUUUUGUCACCUGAAUGUAAAACAUGGUGAGAUAUAUAUCCUCCUUUAGCUACUUUCUUUACUUUUCUCCUUGAAAUGUAACAUUUUAUAGAUAAUACUCAGGGCAAUCUUUAAAAAUAUUGUCUGUGAUGUACCCUGUGAUUUAAGCCAAGUGAAAAAAAAUAUUAUAAAAUUUGUAUUGUAGAAAUACGACUCACAACAUGUAGAAAUGUUAGUAAAGUUUGUUUAACAAGUUUUAUUAAAAGGAAUGCAACUGUGCUUACAAGCCUAUGGUAGUUCCCCAUGUUCCUGAAGUUAAGGAGAUGCCAGAUCCUGAGAAAUAAGAAUAAUAAAAUGUUGAGUUUGCUCUAGAAAGAAGCAUGAAUUUUAAUACCAUGCAUGAACAAAAAGUAAGUUAUCAGAAAUGGGUUACAACACUAUGGGGUGAUCAGAAUAGGCCUCAUCAAGAUGAUGACAUUUGAGCAAAGACUAGAUAAUAAAGGAAUUAUCAAGAAGAUAUCUUGAGGGAAAAUAUUAUGGGCUGAGUGAUAAUAUGUGCAAAUGUUACAUUAUAGUGUGAGGAAGUCAUAAAAACAUGGUUAUUGGUGAUAUUAUACAUAAAAUAAUAAAGCCAUUGCAAACUCAGAUAAAUCAGUUCUCGAACGAGAGACGAACACACUUGUUUCUUACAGAAUUUACAGUGAGAAAAUGCAUCUUUUAAGAAUAAACAUUCUGGUACACUAUUUCAUGUUUAUUUAGAGUGCAGAGUAUUUCACUUAUAUUGCUUAGUAACUCCAAGAUAAGAAAUUAAUUUUUUUUUUACAAUUUCACAGGCAGACUGACUUUUGUUAUGGUAGAAUAAGGAGAUAAUCUCAAUAAGCAAUUAUAUAACUCGGGGAAAAUAUUAAAAAAAAAACACCCACAUGUUGCAGGCAUUUGGGUAUCAACCAAAUGCAUACAACACAUUGAGAAGCAUUUAUUCACAAUAAUCCUUGGUGUUCUUAUCCAGACUAUUACUAUCACCCACUGAUUGGUCAGCAGUUCUAUAAGUCAGGAAAUACCACAAAAGCCAAGCCCUCUACUCGCCAAGGAAAUCACUUGAUUAGGAACAGAAAACAAAACAGUCAUGCCCAGCAGUGAUGUCAGUGAAAUUAUCAAUUUCAGUUUCAAGUGAAGAGAGAAAGUUUAGUGGACCAGCCAUUUUGAUCUUGUCUCCUAGCUGGGAGGAGCAAUGGGACACUAAAAUAGCCAACAUUUUCAAAAGGAGAUUUUAUAGAUGAGGCAGAGUGGCUUGAUAAUUUAUCUACAGUUCCUAGACUGACUUGAUUGCUGCAACUAGUGAAGACCAAAACAGAAGACUCAAGCUGUUAAGCUAUGUACAUAUUAUUUUGGCUGUCAAGAAGACGGUGAUCAUGCAUAGAGGAGAGAUAAAGGGUCCAGCAAAAAGUAAAAGUUAGAGUAAGUCUGAAUUCUUUUUCUUAAUUUUGGAAGUAUUCCACAACCCACACACACAUCUGUCAACAGGGGUUGGAAGCCUUCUUGGCAGAUGUUUGGACAUAAUAUUACACACCUGUAGUCCCUGCUCCUUGUAAGGCUAAGGUGGGAAGAUCAUUUUAGCCUGGAGGCAGAGGUGGCAGUGAUCCAAGAUUGCACCACUGCACUCCAGCCUGGGUGACAGAGUGAGGUCCUGUUAAAAAAAAAAAAAAAUGAAAAGUAAAAGCAGAAACAUCAGCAGUCCCAUACUAGAAUGGAGUCAGAUUGUCCAGAUUUAGCUUAACAAAGUAACAACUUACUAAAUAAACAAUGAAACAAAACAAAAAUAGCAACAGCUUUUGGGAGGAAAAUUGAGAAUCUGGAAUUCCUGCAAUAUAAUAUCGAAAAUGUCUAGAUUUAUUUUUCUAAUUAAGAGACAUAAAAAGAGAAAAGUUAGUCACGGAGUGGAAGGGGCAGUCUGUCAAGAAAACUGAGUGUACUCAGAUGUUGGAUUUGUUAUAGUAUACAGCAAAUUCAAAGCAGCUAUUAAAAUACUUUCAGUAUUAAAGAAAGUAUAAUGAUAAUGAAUCAAAAAAUAGAAAAUAUCAACAAAUGAAUAGUAAUUACAAUAACCAAAUAGUUAUCCUGAAAUUAAAAAAUUGAAUAACUGAAAUAAAGUUCAGUAGAGUAACUCAACAGCAUAGGUCAGGUUACAAAUGAAAAAUUAAGCAAAAUAUAAAUGUAGAUUAAUAGAAGCUGUCCAACAAGAGAAGAAAUGAUAAAACUGUACAUAAGAGCAACAUCAAGCAUACUGAUGUAUAUGUAAUGUGUGUGCCGAGAGAAGAAAAAGAUAGGAGCAGAAAAAAUAUUUAAACAUAUAGUUACCUAAAGCUUCUUAAAUUUGAUGGGAAAAAAUUAUCCACAUUUCCAAGUUUAAUGAAUUACAAAUAGGACAAGCAGAAAGUGAGCCAUACCUGAACAUAUCAUAGUCAAACUGUUGAAAGCACAGACAAGGAGACCACCUUGAAAUCAGUAAGACAAAAUGACUUAUCAUGUAAAGAGGGAGAUCUAUACAAUUAACACUGAUUUUUGAUAUAAAGCAAAGGAAGUUACAACGUAUUGAAAUAGCAUAUGUUUCAAACACUGAAAGAAACAAGCAAACGAACAAGAAACAAAAGAACCAUAACAAAGAAUCCUAUAUCCAGCAAAACUACUCUUCAAAAAAAAACAUGGUAAAAUGAAGACAUUCCUAGAAACAUGAUGAUCAAGAAAAUUCAUUACUACCAUAUAUGUCUUCGAAUAAAUUCUUAAGAGAGUUCUUCAAACAGAAAGGAAAUAAUACUGGCAGCUAAUUCAAACCCAUAGGAAGAAACCAAAACAACUAGUCUUGGUAAAUUUAAAAUUAUUUCUAAAUAUAUUUUCUCUUAGCUUAUUUCAAUGUUACAAGGUUAUAUAAAGCAAUUACAGCAUUGAGUUGUCAUGUCUAUUGCACACAGAGAUGUAGUGCAUAUGAAAAUCAUAAAAGAUAAUAGGGGAGAUAAAAUGCAGCUAUACUGGAAAAAAUUUUUCUCUAAUUUAUAAAAAUUAGCUAAGUAUUGAUCAAUAUGUAUCUAUCUAUCCAUCUAUGUAUAUAUCUAUAAAAACACACAGGCAUACUACACACACAAAGAAAAAGUAAUAUUCAAUACUAUAGUCACAUUUAAAAUUUAAUUUCAGAUACAUUAAAGAUACACAAAAUAAUAACUUUAAACUAUCAGUUAAAACAUUUUUUAUAUAUAAUAUAGGCAAAAUUAUAAUUAAAAUUUUAAUUAGGCUGGGCGCAGUGGCUCACGCCUUUAAUCCCAGCCUUUGGGAGGCCGAGGCGGGUGGAUCACGAGGUCAGGAGAUCAAGACCAUCGUGGCUAACACGGUGAAACCCCAUCUCUACUAAAAAUACAAAAAAUUGGCCUGGCGUGGUGGCGGGAGCCUGUAGUCCCAGCUACUUGGGAGGCUGAGGCAGGAGAAUGGCGUGAACCCCAGAGGCAGAGCUUGCAGUGAGCCGAGAUCAUGCCACUGCACUCCAGCCUGGGUGACAGAGCCAGACUCCAUCUCAAAAAAAAAAAAAAACAAUUUAAUUAAACACACUUUUUCUAAUUCACCCUAACGGACAUAAAUUUUUCUAGGUGUUCAGCAUCCAAUAAUGAAUAUUACUGACAAAUAUCCCUCUCUCAUGUGGCUUACAGUCUCAUGUGUUUAACAGUAUACACACAACCAAAUGAAUGAAGUGUAAAAUUUUACACAGUACAAUGAAAAUCUUAAAUGAUAUGAGAUACUACAAACAAAAUAGAAAGACAAAUUAUACGCUGAAACAAGGUAUAUAGUACAUACAUAACAACAGAGGCUUUUACUCCAGAGUAUGUAAGACGAGUUCAUAUAUCAGCGAGAACAAUAAGAUGUGCCAAGAUAAAUAUGAAAAAGUCUGUAAAGAGAAAAUUUGAAUGACCAAUAAGCAAAUGAAAGAUGCUCAAAUUAAUCAUUUAUUUAAGAAAACUUACUUAAAACAAUACUGAAAAAUAAUUUACACUCAUAGGAUUAAACAGUUUUAAAAGUUGGCUAAUAUGAAGCUGUCAAAAGUUUAAAGGAUGAAAAAUGGGGCAAAAGAACACUAUGCUACUUUCUGAUAGUGUAAGUUCAGGAGAAAUUGGCAAUAUCAAAAAAGUUAAAAAUGGCUGGAAAUUAUGCUCAACAAUUUACUCCAAAAAAAAAAAUGCUUGUAUUUGUACAGAAGGAAAUAUGGCCACUAGUGUUUAUGGCAGUAAUUGUGUGUAAUUAUGAAAACACUAAAACAUCCUAAAAUUUCGAUGUGGUGGUAGAAGAAAAAUCAAUGUAGCUCAUUAGUAUUAGGGAAUAUUACACAGUAAUUGAUUAACAGAUUAAUGCACUAGAGCUACAUAAUUCUCAAAACCAUCCUGUUAAAGGAGAAAGGAAGAGUGCUUUAUGAUGGUAAAGAAAUGUCAUUAUUUGACUUUUAUAAAUACACAAAACCAAUCCCUUACAUUAUUUAUGUGUGGAUAUGUGAGCAGUUAUAUAUAAGCACAAAACUGGAUACAAAAAUAUCUGAAUGUUCACACUAACUUGAGAUUAGUGGAAAAAAAAGAAGUAACCUGUGGAACUUGGCCAUAAACUGGGCUUUUCACAAAAAAAUAGCUAUGAAUCUGAUAAGUGAAAUUGCUAACAUCUUCCAAAAUUAGUGUUCAAAACAUUGUGUUUUUUGUAUUAUUUUUGUAGUUAUGUGUUUUUAAAUAAUUGUAUAAUUUUAUUGCUAAAAUAUAAAAUUCUGUUACC